CCAUGAAGCAUUAGAUACGGUCAUAUUGAAACACCUCUGGAAGAUACGUGCGGAAAUGGGUGUACUGCCCCGUCUAAUAAUACGUUUAAGGAGGCGAUGCUACAGUACCGCAGUGAUUAAAAUGGACGACAUCCUUUUAGGAAACUUCCAAAUCCAGGGUGGGCGCACUGUGUGGUGAUGAUCAUGAGCAAUCUCUACUCUUCAGUGAGGCUUGAAUAGCGACCGGAAUGGCGAGUAGAUCAACGAUCUCCACUUGCGACGGGCCCACGAUCAGAUACGACUACACAAUCUUACAAAACUACAAACAUCAUCAAAGAAAUACAAAAACAGAACUUGAAA